GGGCAUGCAGCUCAGUGGUAGAGCGCUUGUCUGGCGUGCAUGAAGUCCUGGGUUCCAUUCCCAGCACCCCA
rnacentral:tRNA from 1 species